AGUACUAUUUUCCUGUUAAAAAGAAAAAAAGAGGAAGAAUUUCUCAAGAUUCAAUUUAAAAUUAUCAGACCGCAUAUAAUGUGGAUGAUAAGCAAGCAUCUGGGUUUUAUUCAUUAGCACAAAAUGACGCGGGAAGAACGUUGUACAGGGCCAAUCCAUGGCCAAAAUCUCCCUGUUCUCUCUGCCUUCACGAAUGUUAAUCCCUUAUAGAAUUGAUACCAAAAAGGAGAAACACAUUAUAGAUGUAGAAUUGGGUAACUGAAAAAUCAAGGAGCAAACCAAGAAACGUCAGUAAUUGUCUUGAAGGAUUAUUCAAAGAAAUGGCUACAAUUUCCCCAAAAAAACUUAGAAGACUGGGACAUCGGUUUAAGAGGAAGAAAUACUGCCCCAAGAAACUAGGAGCAUUCCACAAAUUCAAAGGAUUAGGACUCAAAUUCAAGAUCUCAAGAAAGAAGGCUUUGAAGAAUGAAAUCUGCCAAGGUGUGACUUUUCCUUAUUCUUGGAAAGGAAAUUCUCAUUUACCUUAAUUUCCAAGGAUCAAAAUCUCUUGGGUUGCCAUUUCUUCAAUCUCCAAACUUCUAGUUUUCUCCUCUAUUUCAGGAAGACAUUGGUUUACCUAAUCGGUAUUCAAACUGUAUUAGCCAACUACAAGUCUUUGCUCUACUUUUAAAUAAGCAUUCUAUUACUUAGUGCGAUAGUAUGUAACAAAAAAAGAGAGGAGAGAAAAACAAUUGGUGAGGCAUUGAACCAAAGAAAUAAUAAGAGAAGAAAAAGAUUGAGAAAAGAGUGAAAAAAGAGAAAAGAAAAGAAUGAGAAGAGAGACAUUGAGAGUAGCAAUAGAAGUUCUGUUCCCAAAGUUGUACCAAAACCAACCAUUUGCAAGGACUUAGAAGAGAACGCCCUUCUUGCACUUUCACUUGCACUCCUGACAUCCUAAAUUGCAAGGCUGCUACCGAAAUUCGUCAAUAUCUUUACAAGGACGUCAUGGAAGAAACAACAAACCCAGAGACAGCUAAGGAUGCACCCUGAGCUUAGAUUGAUUCAGUGGAUAUCAAGGAAGGAGAAAAUCCUAGUGAACUCUAGAAAGACAUGAAAGCUCCUCCGGGAAAUUAAAUGUGGCAUUGGUGAAGCCUGAACGGGAUUCCUCUCAGAAACAGCAAGCUGAAGAUGAUGGAGUCCAAGCGACAGGAUCAUAUGUUGUUGGAGGUUCAACAUUUGGUUGGAACUUUAUAACAUACACCAGCAGGAGGCCAUCUAUUAUGGAUGAAGCAAAGUGUCCUUCCGGUCUGUAAAUGUUAAAUCUGAAUGAUGUUAGAAGCAAAGAGUCCUUCCAUUCUGCAAACGUUAAAUCCGAAUAAAGUUCCCAAAGUUCACUUUUA